AAAAAAAAAAGAAAUAGAAAAAGUCGGGAACCUGGCAAGCUGCCUAACUGCUCUGUGCGUCGGUGUCCUCACCUGUGAUGCGGGGACAAAGCUGAAGAAGCCAGCAACCUGAAAACACCAAUGGGCACAGACAGAAGAACCUGCUCGCUCCAGCCAGAGACGUAUGAGGACUUGUAGAUGAAAAAGGGAGCUUCAGGAAAGCUGUCUUCUCUAAGUCACAUAAAGCUGGACUCAAACUUUUUGCCUCUACAAUUUUUUUUCACAAUACUGGGAUGACACCAAAAGGACUUAGGGAAAAGAAAAGGGCACCCACCCACCACAGAUAGCCAUGAGCUUUACAGUGCCCAUCUCAUGCCUUCAAAAGAAUCACUUAUUUCAUCAGGCACUGAAAUUUUUUGACUUGUGUAUAAUAAAAAAAAUCUAUUUAAUUG
rnacentral:lncRNA from 1 species